CAGCGAGAAAGCGUUGCCGCAGGCAACGACCCGAAGGGUGAAGCGCGCAGCGCUGAGUAAUCCUUCCCCCACCACCA
rnacentral:sRNA from 1 species